rnacentral:lncRNA from 12 species
CUUUGAUCUUAAGAGCCACAAAUGUUUUGGAAGGCACUUUCCUUGGGAUCAUUCAGCUUCUCUGUCCCAACCCUCCCAAGUGUGUCACAUUCCAGGUCUGGUUGUGCCUUCUGAGUUGUAUCCUCUCUUAUCCUGGAUUUCUCUCCCACAGAGCAUGGGCUUCUCACUGCCUGCAGCACCACGAGGAGCCUGCUGAGUGAGUGCUGGGGGAGGACAACUGAGCUUCUCUGGGAUAAUGUCCUGGAUGCUUCUGCAUGGCCAUGGAAUAAGGUCCAGCUGACAAGCAAGACUGGGGGAGCUGUGGAAGAAAAGUGCCCAGAGGAGAAGAAGGGAUACAGUGCAGUCAGCUGGAGGUUUUAUUGGAAGCCACACACACCCAGGGUUGAAAGGAUGAAGGGAACGUAAUUCAGCAGAUUCCUUUGGAGCAAACGUUGUUCUCCUGGCUGAUAGAGGGACCAGGAAAAAUGGUAAGAAAACUUCUUCUUUUAACUGGAAAGUGUGUCUUCAAUUUUCUCCCUCUUUC